GAAAUUUGUAAGUUUGUAAGUUGCUGAUGGACAGUGGUUUAUUUAACAAUUUAUGUGUUUUUAGUACACUGAGGAGGAAAGACAAAACAUGAACAGAUAUGUUUUGCUGUUUUUUAAUUUUUUUGAAAUUAAAUAUUUUUCUACUUAAUAAACUUGGAGACUUGCAGUUCCCUCCUAUAAAGAUAAUAAAUGUUUAAUCUUAUCAGGUGGUGAAAGGUCUGGAGAGCUGGCAGGCCAGUUCAUCAAAUUCAUGACUGAUGCUGUUGAAAUCAGAAGAGAAUCCUGAGAAGCUGGUGAAGAAUUACCUGGAAGUUGAUAAAAAGCAUCGCCACUGCCAUAGCAGAGACAGUCUUUGGAAUCUGUGUCAUUCGGUCAGAGGGUGCGGAGCCUGGCGAUGACCCUCAGGAUGUUUUGAUUGUUCUAGAGGGGGUGGAAGUGAUGGGUACACCUUUGAGGUCCUGCAGAAGAUUCUUAUGGAAUUAGAUGCACACAAACUAUCCAACAGCACACAAAGUACAGGUUCUCAAAACACUAUUUUCUCGUUGAGAAAUGUUCCCAUUACAACAGCUACACCAUGUAUCUGGACCAUGAACCUAAAAUAAUUGCAGAUAUUUUCUUUUUUGAAAGUGCAUCUGUUGACCUUCAAAGUAGUUGUAUUGGUCAUCGGAAAAUCACCUGCUUCAGCC
ensembl:lncRNA